GCCUGGGUGGCUCAGCGGUUGAGUGUUUGACUUUGACUCAGGACCUGAUCCCAGGGUCUGGGAUCGAGUCCCACAUCGGGCG
rnacentral:tRNA from 1 species